rnacentral:tRNA from 8 species
GCGGGUGUGGCGGAACUGGCAGACGCGCUAGAUUUAGGUUCUAGUGUCUUACGACGUGGGGGUUCGAGUCCCUUCACCCGCAC